UCUGUAGGAAAAAAAGAAUUGUUGAGAA
rnacentral:piRNA from 1 species